rnacentral:lncRNA from 1 species
AUGGAGGCGGGAGCCCAGGCCAAUGUAGAAGCUGCUCAUCUGGCCCAGGUCCACGGCGUUGCCGUGCGAGAAGAGGACCGUGUACCUGGGGCAGGCCGGGAAGGGCCAUUCACAUCCUCAUUCCCAGCGCCCAGCUGCAGGGCAGGAGGACGCGUACUGACAGCCCACCCCGGUGGCCAGCCAUGCCCAGCGCCUUGUUUACUCCCCUCCCAAGGGGGCCCGAAGCCAGCGAAUGGACAGGGGAGGCUACGACAGCACAGCUCCAUCUCCGGGGGUUCCCCAUGGGGAGAGAACAGGAGAGCCGGCAGGGGUACAGGCAGCCUGGGCUGCAGAGAGGCCAGCCAGGGAGCCUCAGGACUCCCAUCUGUGAAGCGGGACACUGGGACCAUUGGUCACAUCCUCUCUCUGGGCAGACGCGCAGUGUGUGCCCGGAUGCUGCAGGUCUCGCUGCCCUGCAGCCCUUCCUCCUGGAAGAGCCGGGACCCCCGGGGAUGGAGCACACAGGCCCACCUUUCAGGACCUUCCCAGGGAAGACCGUGCUGCUGCUGGCAGGGCUAUCUGCCCUCCCCUCACAGAAUGGUGCCCUCACUGUUGGGAACAACUGGACCCCACCCCUGCCCCCAACAAGCAAAUGCGCCCAAUCCCUGCUCACAUUCACGCAGCCCCUCCUGCCCCGCCACCCUGCCCAAGCCCCGAGCCCGUGCUACAAGGCCUGUCUGCUUCCCAGCACGGGAGCUGCCCCAGGUGGUGCCAGGAGCAGGCGGCCAGGCUGGCCCUACCAGGGACUGCUUCCUCCAGUUCCCCCAGGACCCUGCCCAGCCCAGCCAGAAGGUAAAGGCUCGCCCUCUGGACUCAGAUCUGGUCAGAACCCCACCUGGCAAGAAGGCGGAUGUAGGUCAGGGCGGCCCCUGUGCCCCACCCCAGCAGGCAACCACCAGGGGCUGGGUCGCUGGAGUCGCCCGGCCUGCCCAACUAUGCCAGCUGGGGAUGGCCUCCCUGAGCCUGGUAUCCUUGUCUGCGAGAGGAAAUCGCUGGAGGGAUGAGGCCAGCCCGGCCGGGGACACCACCCAUGCCAGCUGGAUGGCCCUUCACAGCAGGCUCAGGCCCUCUGGGGCACCACCAACCACACCAAGCACCCGGGGCAGAAACGGGAGCCCCAAGAACAGGGUGACCCAGCCCGGGCGCGGCCACAGCUGCUCACCUGGCACCAGGCACGCAGCGAACAUACAUGCAGGAGACACGGUUGCCGCGGGCGCUCUUCGUGGGGAAGACCUCGAUGGCGUCCAGCUCGCGCUGGCUGUACUGGAAGUCGGCGCGCUCCGUCAGGUGCAGCUUCCAGCCCGGGUGCACCCGAGGAGGCCCGUAGGGUCCCCAAGGGCCCCGGCCCCACCAGGCCCUGACUCGGGUUCAGGCACCAGGGAGUAG